rnacentral:rRNA from 1 species
UACGUAGGGGGCAAGCGUUGUCCGGAAUCAUUGGGCGUAAAGAGCGUGUAGGCGGCUCGAUAAGUCUGCUGUGAAAGUCCAGGGCUCAACCCUGGAAGGCCGGUGGAAACUGUCGGGCUAGAGUCCGGAAGAGGCGAGUGGAAUUCCCGGUGUAGCGGUGAAAUGCGCAGAUAUCGGGAGGAACACCAAUGGCGAAGGCAGCUCGCUGGGACGGUACUGACGCUGAGGAGCGAAAGCGUGGGGAGCGAACAGG